rnacentral:rRNA from 1 species
UUCGACGCAACGCGCAGUACCUUACCUAGACUUGGCAUCCCGGGGAUUUUCUGGAAACAGGGGAGUGCCCUUCGGGAACCCGGUGACAGGUGCUGCAUGGCUGUCGUCAGCUCGUGUCGUGAGAUGUUGGGUUAAGUCCCGCAACGAGCGCAACCCUUGUCUUUAAUUGCCAUCAUUUAGUUGGGCACUUUAAAGAGACUGCCGGUGUUAAGCCGGAGGAAGGUGAGGAUGAUGUCAAGUCAGCAUGACCUUUAUAUCCAGGGCUACACACACGCUACAAUGGUCUGUACAAUGGGUAGCCAAGCCGCGAGGCGGAGCCAAUCCUGAAAGCAGGCCUCAGUUCAGAUUGCAGUCUGCAACUCGACUGCAUGAAGCCGGAGUUGCUAGUAACCGCAGGUCAGCAAUACUGCGGUGAAUACGUUCCCGGGUCUU